UCCCGUUUAGCUCAGUUGGUAGAGCGCGUCACUAGUACCGGUAUUGUACCGGGGCAUGACGAGGUCAGUCGUUCGAGUCGGCUAAUGGGAA